rnacentral:rRNA from 1 species
GAUGAACGCUGGCGGCGUGCUUAACACAUGCAAGUCGAACGGAAAGGCUCCUGCUUGCAGGGGUACUCGAGUGGCGAACGGGUGAGUAACACGUGGGUGAUCUGCCCUGCACUUCGGGAUAAGCCUUGGAAACUGGGUCUAAUACCGGAUAGGACGAUGGUUUGGAUGCCAUUGUGGAAAGUUUUUCGGUGUGGGUUGAGCUCGCGGCCUAUCAGCUUGUUGGUGGGGUAAUGGCCUACCAAGGCGUCGACGGGUAGCCGGCCGGAGAGGGUGUACGGCCACAUUGGGACUGAGAUACGGCCCAGACUCCUACGGGAGGCAGCAGUGGGGAAUAUUACACAAUGGGCGCAAGCCUGAUGCAGCGACGCCGCGUGGGGGAUGACGGCCUUCGGGUUGUAAACUCCUUUCGCUAGGGACGAAGCGCAAGUGACGGUACCUAGAGAAGAAGCACCGGCUAACUACGUG